rnacentral:rRNA from 1 species
UGCUUUUGAUGGGCGUCGACCGGCGCACGGGUGAGUAACGCGUAUCCAACCUGCCCACCACUUGGGGAUAACCUUGCGAAAGUAAGACUAAUACCCAAUGACGUCCCUAGAAGACAUCUGAAGGAGAUUAAAGAUUUAUCGGUGAUGGAUGGGGAUGCGUCUGAUUAGCUUGUUGGCGGGGUAACGGCCCACCAAAGCAACGAUCAGUAGGGGUUCUGAGAGGAAGGUCCCCCACAUUGGAACUGAGACACGGUCCAAACUCCUACGGGAGGCAGCAGUGAGGAAUAUUGGUCAAUGGACGAGAGUCUGAACCAGCCAAGUAGCGUGCAGGAUGACGGCCCUAUGGGUUGUAAACUGCUUUUAUAAGGGAAUAAAGUGAGUCUCGUGAGACUUUUUGCAUGUACCUUAUGAAUAAGGACCGGCUAAUUCCGUGCCAGCAGCCGCGGUAAUACGGAAGGUCCGGGCGUUAUCCGGAUUUAUUGGGUUUAAAGGGAGCGUAGGCCGGAGAUUAAGCGUGUUGUGAAAUGUAGAUGCUCAACAUCUGCACUGCAGCGCGAACUGGUUUCCUUGAGUACGCACAAAGUGGGCGGAAUUCGUGGUGUAGCGGUGAAAUGCUUAGAUAUCACGAAGAACUCCGAUUGCGAAGGCAGCUCACUGGAGCGCAACUGACGCUGAAGCUCGAAAGUGCGGGUAUCGAACAGGAUUAGAUACCCUGGUAGUCCGCACGGUAAAC